AGAAGAUGGGGACCCCUACGUGCGGCCAGAGGAUGAGAACUAUGAAAAUGACUCAGUCCGGCAGCUGGAGAACGAGCUCAAGAUGGAGGAGUAUCUGAAACAGAAGCUGCAGGAUGAAGCCUACCAGGUCAGCUUGCAAGGUUGAAUACAAUAUCCUUUUAUCACUCUCCUCUCAAGCAAGCUAUAGUCAGACAGAUGAUGAAGGUAACACGCAAGCUGGUGAUGAAGGAGAGCCCCGCACCCACCCCCGCAGAAGAGAAGACACCGGCCCAGGAGCAGCCUCAGCGCCCAGAGGUGCCGCCCCGCACAGCAGCUCCUGACAGACCCCCACCCUUAGAGACGCGUUCUGCCGACAGUAGUGCAGUUGACUUUUCAUUCUAAGAUUCGUAGUUCAUAGGUGUGUGUUUUGAGAAGGAAAAAAAGAAAAGACUUCUGACUCCUGUUCAAAGCUAACUUAUCAGCUGCAUCUUCUGUAACAUGGCUCAUCCCUGAUUAGAAACAGAAACAGCAACCACCACCACACACACACAGGAAAAGGAAAACCCACAGGCUGAAAACCCACGCUGCUCUUACUCACGAUGGCAGUAUUAACAAGCAUUUUAAGCCUUUGCACAUGAUAUCGAACCUGUUCCGUUUACAAUGACAAUAUUAAUACUGUUUGUAGCUAGACGUUUUGAUUUCUGAAUUCUUUGAGAUUUUAGCGAACCAGUUUAUUAUACACUGUACAUUUUUUUUCCACAGCAAUUGGAAAAAAACAACCACUUGCAAUUAUUCACUAACCCCGAAGGAUUUGGUACCUGAGUGUACAGACUCAGAGCCCGGAAGCCAAGAAGGGUCCUUGGCCUGCACUGUCUGCAUUUGUCUCUAAGUCCCUGUGAGCAGUGACUUGAACCAAUCACACCAGGAUAAUCCAGCCUUUGGGGCUUCUUUCUAACUUGGGGUUGUUUUCUUUCAAGAUACUCUAACAAAUCAGCCAUAGAAUUUAGUGUAAAUAUUUUUUCCAAGUAGAUAUCAUAUUCAAAAAGAAAAAAAAAAAAAGGCAACAUUCAAAUGAUAUAGAAUCUAGUUUUUAAAAUCAGCACAGAUCUUCUUAAAAACUGUGAACUAUGUUUUGAAAUACUCGUUGCUAAAGCUGUUUAUAAACCACAGGUGCCAUAAGAUCCCCAAACGGACUCGAGUUAUCUCUGCUCUUCCAUGGGCGCGUCCCUCUCGUUUUAGCUUUAGGGAGCAUGUCUAACCACACCGCUCGUCCACAGCUUCCCCUAUCAGGUUGUCUGGAGGCCUUCAGCUUUAAAUGUACAGGCUUAAAGUGUGCUUGCAAACAGUCCUUCUCCUUUUAUUUCUGAAUGUUUAUUGCCUUAGCUGGCUACCUGGUGUUCUGCAUGCAGCCUUCUGUGGUCAUGGGAGAGGAAACGGGCUCUUCUAAGUGGCGUUGGGAUUUUGCACUCAGCGAAAAGCUGAUGUGCAAAAGCACGGUGGAAGAAGGAAGAAUGAAAGCCUCUGUGGAUGGUCCUUUAUGAGGGCCCUUGUCAGGUAGCCUUAAAGACCUCCCUUAGGGAGUCUGGGGAAAUGAAAACAUAAUCUACUUGGUGCAAGACUGGAUGAAAUAAAAAUCUGGCAACAUAUUGAAUAUGUUAUACUUAAAUUGGCAGCUUCUCUGGAAUUCCUAUCUCCUUUAAAAGAAAGGUGAGAACGUCAUUUUAGAACAGUGGCCCUCAAAGCGUGUGUCCUGGACCAGCAGCAUCAGCAUCACUUUGGGAAUCUAUUUAGAAAUGCAAAUUCUUAAACCCCAACCCGGGCCUGCUGAAUCCAAAACUCUGGGGAUUGGGCCCAGCCAUCUGUGCUUUAAUGGGCCCUCCAGGUGAUUCCUGAUGCAUGCUAAAGGUUGAGAACCACGGCUUCGGAAUAAAGUUGCAUAUAAAAUCUCUAAAAAGGCCUUAUUCAGAAUAAGCAAGAAAGGCUCUGAGUCAAGCUCAAAGCUUCAACAAUUCGAUUUUGCUUCCGGGGCUGGCAGAAACCUUCUCCCACCCCCACAUAGUUGGUGGUUGGUGUGUGCCCAGCUGAGAACAGACAUCCUGACACCUUCCAGGUCCCUCUCCAGAGGGCUCUGAGUUGGUCGUGUCUCUGCAUCUGGUCAGAAACCAUGUCCUUGGCUGCCCUUUGGAACAAAAUCACUUGCCUCGGGGAUAGCAAAGCUCUCAGUUGGCAUUAGUAAGAAGCCCAUUCUGUCCGUUGAUGUGCUUCUUCAUACUUCCCCAGAGAAGCAGCCUGACAAAUGUCCCUGAGAACAGGCUGACACCAAAGGGCACAACUGCACAGUUCUCAGAUUUCUUUGCACAGAUGGAUUUGAUGAUGAGUUUUGCUGGUUUAUCUUAAUGUUCAUCUCCUUUCCACUGCCCAUCGUCUGUGAAACCAUACCUCUCUAGAUGGGGCAGGUGGCCCCUCGUGCCUCAUACUCAGUACUUAAAACCACUCCAUGCCAGCUACCUACAUUGCUGUCAGCUCUAACUCAUAGCCAGGUAGUUCUGGAACUCGGAACUCGGAUCCUGCAAGUGGCAUUCAGCCCCUGACUGGACUGAGCUGACAUCUGUUGUCACUCUGUCUCUGCAUCAAAACGCUUGUCUAAGGUUUGAACCGUUCUGCUGAUAACUGUCCCCCUUGUCAUAGUUUUCAUUGCCAACUCCACGACAUGGUUGUCGAUAGCAUGGUACAAGCCAUUGCAAGGACUCCGGAAAGUGCCGCCAGUGACCAGUUCCUGACUAACCAGCCACCUUUUCUUUCCCUUAGCUCCACGUCAGCACUGAGACCAGACUCAAGCACCCCUGUCCUGUAACCGAGACAAAAUGGCGUGUAUUGUUUUGGGGUUUUGUGGUUUUGGGGGGGUUUCUUUCCUUGGCUCUCCAGAUUUACUUUUGGGACCUGUUCUAAGUGCAAACCCAGCAGGUUUCACCUGUCCUAUCCAGGAGAUACAGUUACAUCUUGCGGGGAUUAUUUCUUUCUUGUUCCACAAUAAAUUGCACAUCCAUCUCCAUCACAGAUGAUGGCCUAUUAAUGAGCACUGGUCUAACACAGCCAACCUCCCCUAUGGCGCCAUGUGGAGGGAGGGAGGAGGGCAAAAUCUACUGUAUGAGAUUCAGGAAUCAGUUGCGGUUGGUCAGGACGCAAGUCUGGGUAAGUUCGGUUGGUCAGAGGGAGAUGUGCUGGAGAUUGUGAAAAAUGGAUUCUCGAAUGAUCUCUAUAAGGCAGGGAAGGUUCAUUUGUAAGUAGUAAUGUGAGUGUGGCCUUUGUUGUGAUAUACUAUGUAUUUUCUUAUAUGCAUGAGCCGAACUGUCGCAUCAUAAUUUAGCCCUGAUGUCUGCUUUUAUUUUGAUCAUCUUUGUCCACCCUUAUUAGUUCUUUGCUGUUAACUGUAGAGAGACCUUGUAAAUACGGCACCUUUGGUUGCUGCAAUCACCUUGGUUUGAGUCCACGCAAGGAGCCACAAACAAGAACUCCACUGUGUCCUCAGAAGAAAGGGCCUUUUUACUUUUGAACCAAAAAGAGAAAAAAAAUCAGAAAUGUUCCAUCUUGAGGCUAAUUAACUAUAAGACGUUUUUAAUUAUGACUACUGUCAUUUGACACCAUUUGAAAUAACCAAUUCAGAGACACUAAAGAUUUCACAAUAUUCAUUGGUAUUGUAACAAAACUACUAUUGUAUGGGUUUUUUGUUUUGUUUUUUUUUUUUUGUAUUGCUGUUAAGUAUUGUGUGUGUGUGUGUGUGUGUGUGCUGGAACCUCCUGGGGACAUGUUAUAUUUUGAAGUGAUUAAACUAUUUAAUUGUGUGUCUAUAUUUUGGAAUGGAAUUAUUUCUUCAUUAAAAAUGUUUUUAAAAACACUA